rnacentral:rRNA from 1 species
CCCUUAGAUGUUCUGGGCCGCACGCGCGCUACACUGACCAGUGCAACAAGCAUCCGUCCUUGGCCGACAGGCCCGGGCAAUCUUUGAACGCUGGUCGUGAUGGGGAUAGACUUUUGCAAUUUUUGGUCUUCAACGAGGAAUUCCUAGUAAACGCAAGUCAUCAACUUGCAUUGAUUACGUCCCUGCCCUUUGUACACACCGCCCGUCGCACCUACCGAUUGAAUGGUCCGGUGAAGCCUCCGGAUUGGCGCGCACCUCGGUGCCGCCGAGAAGUUGGCUAAACCUUACCAUUUAGAGGAAGGUGAANUCGUAACA